GCCUCUAUAGCUCAGCUGGUAGAGCACCUGAUUUGUAAUCAGGGGGUCGCGGGUUCGAUCCCUGCUGGGGGCACCA
rnacentral:tRNA from 1 species